rnacentral:rRNA from 1 species
AGCAGCCGCGGUAAUUCCAGCUCCAAUAGCGUAUAUUAAAGUUGUUGCAGUUAAAAAGCUCGUAGUUGAAUUUCGGGAUCAGUACGUUGGUCGUGCCUUUGGUAUGUACUGAUGUUACUGGUUCCUCUCUUCUGAUGAACCGUCAUGUCAUUAAUUUGGUGUGGCGUGGAAUCAGGACUGUUACUUUGAAAAAAUUAGAGUGUUUAAAGCAGGCUCGCGCUUGAAUACAUUAGCAUGGAAUAAUGAAAUAGGACGUUUGAUUCUAUUUUGUUGGUUUU